GCCAGGGGAGCGGAGGACGCAGGAGGCCCUUCGCGCUGCCGCCCCAGACCUAGACGCUGUUCUCAGAGGCCUCACGGGGCCGGAGCGGGGGCGGGGGUAAUGGACCUGGAGCCACCUAGCUCCUGCCUGGGGCCGUCACCUCGGUCCCUAGGCUCUGUCGCUCCCAAAGGCCAGGGUUCCAGCAGCCUAAGAAGACGCGUGGAGGACAGCGCAGUUCGGAGAGAGGGCGCCAAAGGCGACGCACCGGCUGCCAGCUCCCAGCCAAGCCCAGUGCGUCCGCAGGAACCGGCCCCUUCACCCAGCGCGGGACGCGGAGCUGCGCGAGAAUCUUGUUCAGCGCGGACUCAACGCCAGGGCGCCGCCUAGAGUCACCAGAAACCGCAGCAUCCCACGCCUGUGGGCUGGAUCCGCGCCUCUAGGAGCACCCACGAAGCCUGGCUCCUUCCCUGCCUGUAUGUCCGGGGCAUCGAGAGAGAGCCUGACGCCAGGCUCACCUCGAGAGAACAGGGCCGAGUUCCCUCAAAGGCCCAGCCAGGCUGAACUUGUCCGGAUUAAUAAAGACCUGACUUGCCCGCACCCAGCUGCCCCGUUGCGUGCAAUCCCUGCGUUUGUU